AGUGGCAAGAGGGAUUUAUUUGUAGCUAGUUGUGUGAUUGUGUUUUAGAAAAAAAAAAAAAAGAUGUAGCAGAGAGCACUGGGCAGAGGAAGAGGAUGACAGCCGCACUCCUAGAACAGAGCCAUUUCCCAGCGCCGGGAGUGUGGGCUCACACCAGAGGGAGAAAACGGAUAGGAAGCUGAGUCCACUCAGCAUCUUCCGGGGUGGCAGCAAAAUCCUACACUGGUUUCAAGGCAAAAGGACUUGUAAGUAUCAUGCUCUUUCUCUUCGAAGAGCUGGAGAAAUCAGAGGCUCUGAACCUCAUGGAAGAACGCACAGGCAAACCAGGCAAAAGCUGGAGUUUCAACUGCAGUCAGCCGGCCUUCACUUUAUCUUAUGCUGCCUUUGCCCUCCAGAGAGGUUUUGUUCCCAAAAAAUCUCCGAAAGGUGCCCAGCUAUGACAUCCAGCACUUCAUUUGUUGAUUCGAAGACCUGGGUUAAAAUACCAGCUCUGCCAUUUCAUUCAAGAUUCCCCUGAAUUCACAUUUAUUGGACACUAUGGCACUGUUUGGGUGAUGGAGAUACAGAGAGAAGCACAUGACGUAUGAUUCUUCAGGAGCUGCUGGGCUAGUGCUGGGAUGAUGGCAAACAUAUAAACCCUCGGCAGGGGAGGCAACAUGGGAGCUGUGUCCUUGGUGAUGGCAGGUAGUAAGGAAAGGGCAUUCAAGGGCCUGGUGCCUCCAGAGACGAGGAAGGGAGCCCGGGGCAUAUGGAGGGCCUGGAGAGGCUCAGGUCAGAGCUAAGACCAGAGGUACAGUGAGGCUAUGGUGUGGAAGGGACUUGAACACCAACCUAGGGGGAUUUGACUUGAUGCAGAAGGCAACUGGGAGCCACAUUGUUUCUAAGUCAGGGGAUGAACAUGCUCCGAUUGCUAUGGAAGAAUUUUCCAAGCAGCGCUAUUGAAAAGAGUGAUGGAGCCUGGAUGCAGGGAGACAUGGCAUCUGGAGGCUGCUGCAGCCCUUGGUGUGUAUACAGCUGGCGCUCACCUCUUCCCCUUCUUUGUUUCCUCCUCCCUUUCCUGAUUUUCCUCUAUCUCUUUCCUCUUCUUUACCUACUGCCCUCACUUUCUUCAUCAGUUACUUUCUCCUCCAUCCUUUCUUCCUGAAAGGGCCAGAAGCUCUAAUUGUGGACAGGCUAGAACAGAUCCUUUUGCCUCCUUUAGUAUUUCUACUUCGAGUAAAAAUGUCUGAUGAGACAGUG
rnacentral:lncRNA from 1 species